rnacentral:rRNA from 1 species
GCGGCGUGCCUAAUACAUGCAAGUCGAGCGAACAGACGAGGAGCUUGCUCCUCUGACGUUAGCGGCGGACGGGUGAGUAACACGUGGAUAACCUACCUAUAAGACUGGGAUAACUUCGGGAAACCGGAGCUAAUACCGGAUAAUAUAUUGAACCGCAUGGUUCAAUAGUGAAAGACGGUUUUGCUGUCACUUAUAGAUGGAUCCGCGCCGCAUUAGCUAGUUGGUAAGGUAACGGCUUACCAAGGCAACGAUGCGUAGCCGACCUGAGAGGGUGAUCGGCCACACUGGAACUGAGACACGGUCCAGACUCCUACGGGAGGCAGCAGUAGGGAAUCUUCCGCAAUGGGCGAAAGCUUGACGGAGCAACGCCGCGUGAGUGAUGAAGGUCUUCGGAUCGUAAAACUCUGUUAUUAGGGAAGAACAAAUGUGUAAGUAACUAUGCACGUCUUGACGGUACCUAAUCAGAAAGCCACGGCUAACUACGUGCCAGCAGCCGCGGUAAUACGUAGGUGGCAAGCGUUAUCCGGAAUUAUUGGGCGUAAAGCGCGCGUAGGCGGUUUUUUAAGUCUGAUGUGAAAGCCCACGGCUCAACCGUGGAGGGUCAUUGGAAACUGGAAAACUUGAGUGCAGAAGAGGAAAGUGGAAUUCCAUGUGUAGCGGUGAAAUGCGCAGAGAUAUGGAGGAACACCAGUGGCGAAGGCGACUUUCUGGUCUGUAACUGACGCUGAUGUGCGAAAGCGUGGGGAUCAAACAGGAUUAGAUACCCUGGUAGUCCACGCCGUAAACGAUGAGUGCUAAGUGU